rnacentral:lncRNA from 1 species
CCCAAAAGUCAUCAUUUAAGCUCCUCAUCUCAGUCAGAUUCGAUGCUUGCCAUUCGAUCAUUCGUCGGAUCGAUUUUGGAUCAUUGAUCAGCACAUCAGAUCUUUAUUCAAAGUCGAGAUCAAUGGCAGCUGUCGGAUCUGGUGAUCAGUGGUUUUAGAUCAUCAGAUGGUGCUAAAAAAUCCUUCUCUGAUUUAGUUCUCAGUUGGCAUCAACCACAACCAUCCGAUCAUCAUCUUUAUAGGGCUUCCAAUAGUUGGAUCUCGCAAAGGAGUGGGCCACCAUUGAUGGAUAUGGAA